rnacentral:rRNA from 1 species
AGCGAACGCUGGCGGCAGGCCUAAUACAUGCAAGUCGAACGGCUCUUCGGAGCAGUGGCGGACGGGUGAGUAACACGUGGGAACGUGCCCUUUGGUACGGAACAACUGAGGGAAACUUCAGCUAAUACCGUAUGUGCCCCCAUUCUUAGCGGGAUGGGUGGGACAGAUUUAUCGCCAUUGGAGCGGCCCGCGUUUGAUUAGCUAGUUGGUGGGGUAAAGGCCCACCAAGGCUACGAUCCAUAGCUGGUCUGAGAGGAUGAUCAGCCACACUGGGACUGCGACACGGCCCAGACUCCUACGGGAGGCAGCAGUAGGGAAUCUUGCGCAAUGGGCGAAAGCCUGACGCAGCCAUGCCGCGUGAAUGAUGAAGGUCUUAGGAUUGUAAAAUUCUUUCACCGGGGAAGAUAAUGACGGUACCCGGAGAAGAAGCCCCGGCUAACUUCGUGCCAGCCGCCGCCGUAA